CCUACGGGUGACAGCAGUGGGGGAUAUUGCACAAUGGGGGGAACCCUGAUGCAGCGACGCCGCGUGGGUGAAGGAGUGCUUCGGCAUGUAAAGCCCUAUCGGCAGGGAAGAAGCAAGACGGUACCUGACUAAGAAGCCCCGGCUAACUACGUGCCAGCAGCCGCGGUAAUACGUAGGGGGCGAGCGUUAUCCGGAUUCACUGGGUGGAAAGGGAGCGUAGACGGCCAAGCAAGCCAGGGGUGAAAGCCCGGGGCCCAACCCCGGGACUGCCCUUGGAACUGCAUGGCUGGAGUGCGGGAGGGGCAGGCGGAAGUCCUGGUGUAGCGGUGAAAGGCGUAGAUAUCAGGAGGAACACCGGCGGCGAAGGCGGCCUGCUGGACCGCGACUGACGUUGAGGCUCGAAAGCGUGGGGAGCGAACAGGAUUAGAUACCCCUGUAGUC
rnacentral:rRNA from 1 species